GACGAACGCUGGCGGCGUGCUUAACACAUGCAAGUCGAACGGAAAGGCCCUGCUUUUGUGGGGUGCUCGAGUGGCGAACGGGUGAGUAACACGUGAGUAACCUGCCCUUGACUUUGGGAUAACUUCAGGAAACUGGGGCUAAUACCGGAUAGGAGCUCCUGCUGCAUGGUGGGGGUUGGAAAGUUUCGGCGGUUGGGGAUGGACUCGCGGCUUAUCAGCUUGUUGGUGGGGUAGUGGCUUACCAAGGCUUUGACGGGUAGCCGGCCUGAGAGGGUGACCGGCCACAUUGGGACUGAGAUACGGCCCAGACUCCUACGGGAGGCAGCGGUGGGGAAUAUUGCACAAUGGGCGGAAGCCUGAUGCAGCAACGCCGCGUGCGAGAUGACGGCCUUCGGGUUGUAAUCCGCUUUCGCCUGUGACGAAGCGUGAGUGACGGUAAUGGGUAAAGAAGCACCGGCUAACUACGUG
rnacentral:rRNA from 1 species